rnacentral:lncRNA from 1 species
UGAGUUGAGAUCACGCCACUGCACUUCAUCCUGGGCGACAGAGUAAGACUGUCUCAAAACGAAAUCUUUUUUAUAGAGUUGGGGUCUCACUCUGUUGCCCAGGCUGGUCUUGAACUCCUGGGCUCAAGUGAUCCUCCUGGGGAUUCCAGGCAUGAGCCACCUUGUCUGAUCAAGGAAAAGGCCCGAUUUUGAAGGGCAGGUCCCAGGGUCAGCCAGGAAAGGGCAGAGCCUCUGAUUGCUGCUUCUCUGCAGGCCCCAAGGCGGCUGCUAGGGUGCACUGGGGGUCUUCCUGCUGCAGGGUAGGGCAGGCCAGAUGGGGCUCAGGCUGUCGGGGUGCUCACACCUGGCGCUUUAGCUAUCGUAGCUGUGGCUGACUGCACAGACAUCACUGAGGCCUUUUUCUGACUUCUACACACUCCCUGUGGCGAUCCUCACUGUGGCUGUCACCGAGAGCCAGUUCCUCAUCCAUGGGAAACCUUUCUAUUUCCACAGUGUCAACAAGCAUGAGGAUGUAGACGUGCACUGGGGCUCCUGGGUCCUCGUAGGGGCUGCUUCUGGUCACCUUCCACUUUUGCCUUCCCUGUGUGCUAUAGCUGAGGGCAGCUCAGGGCAAUGAGCUGCAAACCACCCCACUGUGGAGCUGGUGCUUGGGCUGGAGAGGGGGCUCCUGGUGUGGCUCUCCAGAGUCCUGCCAUUGGAGGAAGUGCAGCUUUGACAGGGACAGGGGUCACUAACUCUGCUGUCCUCUAGAUCCGAGGGAAGGACUUCGACUGUCUGCUGCUGGUGAAGGACUUCGACUGUCUGCUGCUGGUGAAGGACUUCAACCUGCUUUGCUGGCUUGGCACCAAUGCCUUCUGCACUAGCCACUAUCCCUACACAGAGAAGCUACAGAUGUGUGACCGCUCUUCAACAACGUGUCUAUGCAUCACUACAUGUGGGUGAUGGAAGAACUGGUGCACAGAGACAAGAAUCACCCUGCCCUGGUGAUGUGGUCUGACCAACGAGCUUGCGUCCUACCUAGAAUCUGCUGGCUACUACAUCAAGUGAGUGCCGCCAGCCUGUCCUGAGCUGGAUCGGGAAGGAGACCCUGGCAGGUGGCAGACGGGUGGACGUGUGCAGUCCGAGAUUAG